rnacentral:lncRNA from 1 species
UGCUAGCACAUGUGGAAACCCUUGCUCCUUUGGAGAUCAAUUUAAUCUCAUCCCUUACUAAUUAGCUAGCCCAAUUUGGUGGACAUUUGGGUAAAGUCAUUCCACCUAGAAAGAGUCCAAAUUAGGGUGCUACAUCCAAUGUUAACACCAAAAAUGAAGAGUCCAAAUUGUGAAGGACUCUUGGCACAAAAUAGGUUUUGCAUGCAAGUGUGGGCAUGGG